UACGUAGGGUGCGAGCGUUGUCCGGAAUUAUUGGGCGUAAAGAGCUCGUAGGCGGUUUGUCACGUCGAUGUGAAACCCCGGGGCUUAACUCCGGGCCUGCAUUCGAUACGGGCUGACUAGAGUUCGGCAGGGGAGACUGGAAUUCCUGGUGUAGCGGUGAAAUGCGCAGAUAUCAGGAGGAACACCGGUGGCGAAGGCGGGUCUCUGGGCCGAUACUGACGUGAGGAGCGAAAGCGUGGGGAGCGAACAGG
rnacentral:rRNA from 1 species